ACUCAAGUGGACGGGUGGGGAGCCUGCGGCUGGCCACCUCCGCACCCUCGGAGCGCUCCAGGGGGCCCCAACCCAAGCCCUGCACCUACUCUUGAAGGCGACGGCCGCGUUGUUGACCAGUACGUUGAGCCCCCCGUACUCCUUGCGCAGGAAGUCGCGCAGGGCGCGGAUGCUCUGCAAGUCGUCGAUGUCCAGUUGGUGGAAGCGCGGGCUCAGGCCCUCCGCCUGCAGCUGCUGCACGGCCGCCUGGCCCCGCGCCACGUCCCGCGCGGUGAGCACCACAUCCCCAGAGAACUGUCGGCACAGUUCGCGCGCGAUGGCCAAGCCGAUGCCCCUGUUGGCCCCGGUCACCAGCGCCACGCGGCUGCAGGACGACAUGGCUGAGCGGGGAGCGCGGGGCACCUGCGUGGAGGGCGGACCGGGCUUCGGACCACCUGGGGCGCGCCCCGAGGAGCCCAGCUAGUGUCAAUGCCGCCGCGCAGACUAAGUUCUGGGAUCCAGUGCUGCGAGUCUUAAAGAAAAAGGCCCCGGCUCCGGUCCCUCCCCUCCGAGGAGGGGCCGUCUGUGCCCUCUGUUCCAACUCCCGGGCCCGCCCCCUGCCCACGCUGCGCCCUUCAGGAUCCGGGCUCUGAGCCGCGGGGUGAUCUGCGAGGUGUCCGAAGCCAAAUCGGACCUUGAUGGGUCAGUCGGGGGCUCCAGAUUCUUGGCAACUGGACUGAAGAAAUUAUUUUGGGAAAACCCCAAAGUGAGAAAAACAAGUGCUGAGUAAUUUUCUUGGGUGUGCGCCCAUCAUGCACUGCAAAAUGCGAAUGUUUGCUUUUUCCUAAGAUGCAGUGACUUACUUAGACACAGUAACUGCUUCUCUGGACAUAGGUUGCCUUGCUUGCUUAAAAGGAACUCAAGAGAGGGAACUAGAUGCCCUGUGAGCGCACUUAGCAGGUGUGGGCAGGCGACAUCGCUCUGGGAUUCCCAGUGAAUGUGCCCCCAAGUGGGAGGGAAUGUUUUUAUUUAAUCCUACCUAACUCCUACGGGUGCUAAAAGUGUCUGCAUUUAGGUUUGUCCAGGGAGGAUAUAGAUCUAUAAAGAUCUGGAUUGAUCAUAUGUUCUCACAGAUCUGUGUACCGGCAAAGAAAGUUAAACCAAAUUCCCAAAGGUGUGUCAAGCUGUGGGCACAAAAUUAGAGUCUCAUCCAUCGUCUUCAGUGUAAACUGAGUUGUUUGAUCAGUGACUUUGAGAUUUGGGGAGAACCAUGACAUCAUCACGACUCAGCCUUUUCCAUGCAGAGCUGGCUAACCCGCCUGUGUCUCUGUUACUCUGACUCUACCUUCUCUCUCAAGUCCUUACUUGAGGUUCCGGAGGUGGGCCCCUGCUGUGAUCUCCUACUGUGCCUCCCCCAGUAUUUCCUUCUUUUUUCUCCUAAAGAUCAUUUGGUCCGGGCGCGGUGGCUCACACCUGUAAUCCCAGCACUUUGGGAGGCUGAGGCGGGUGGAUUACGCGGUCAGGAGUUCAAGACCAGCCUGACCAACAUGGUGAAACCCCCAUCUCUACUAAAAAUACAAAAAUUACCUGGGUGUGGUGGCACGUGCCUGUAAUCCCAGCUACUUAGGAGGCUGAGGCAGGAGAACUGCUUGAACCCGGGAGGCGGAGGUUGCAGUAAACCGAGAUUGCACCACUGCACUCCAACCUGUGCAACAGAGUGAGACUUUUCAAAAAAAAAAAAAAAGAUCAUUUGGAACCUUGUUUUAAGGAUAUGGGGCUAUUUAGGC
rnacentral:lncRNA from 1 species